CGAGAGUAAGCUAAUCUCUUAAAGCCGUUCUCAGUUCGGACUGUAGGCUGCAACUCGCCUACACGAAGUCGGAAUCGCUAGUAAUCGCGGAUCAGCAUGCCGCGGUGAAUACGUUCCCGGGCCUUGUACACACCGCCCGUCACACCAUGGGAGUUUGUAACGCCCAAAGUCGGUGGCCUAACCUUUAUGGAGGGAGCCGCCUAAGGCGGGACAGAUGACUGGGGUGAAGUCGUAACAAGGUAGCCGUAGGAGAACCUGCGGCUGGAUCACCUCCUUUCUAAGGAA
rnacentral:rRNA from 1 species